UAGCGUUCCGAUCCACUAGGGGUCGGGGCGUUACAGUCUAGCUGUUCUAUUACUUAUUUUAUUUCUAACAUUUUAAAAAUACAAACAAAUUAAAGACAAGUCAUUGACGGACAAUGUUUCGCACAAUUUGAUGUGGCUCGCACGUGGCCCGAGAUGUCAAUCCAUGUCGUAUUUAGGUUUUAUCAUAAAUGGUCAUCGAUUUCACACUAAAGAUACAGAAAAAUCACGCCAAAACAGUGGCAUUUUAGUUGAAACGACAACUAUUUGUAGAUCCAAUGCAAUAGAUAAUGCACAUAUGGUUGGGAAAGUUCUUUACUAUGGAGUUUUACGUGAUGUUAUAGUUCUUGAUUAUAACACGUUUCAUGUUCCAAUAUGCAAGUGUGGUUGGGCAAAUAUUGUGAAUGGAAUAAAAAUGGAAGAUGGAUCAGAGUAAACCUUAACGAGGGACUUAGACAAUUUGAAAAUGAUCAUUUCAUCUUGGCAACACAGGUGAAACAAAUCUUUUAUUCAAUGGAGAAUGAAAUACUUAGUUGGUAUAUUGCUUUGCAAGCACCACCAAGAGACUUUCAUUUAAUAGACAUGGAAGCAAAUACUGCUUAUGAGGCAACUAUUUCACUAGAUAUAUCACGACAAAAUCUAGACGACCUUGAUGAGAUAAGAAUUAUGCAAAGGCAGAUGCUGAAAGCUUAUUAUGUGAUAUGUAGAGUAGUUUUGUAAUUAGCUUAUGUAUUUCGUUUUUUCAGCAUUAUUUUAACAUGCGACAUGCCUAAUAUUUUGAUAGAUGUUAAGAUCUAACCAUUAAUUAUUAUGACGUUACAAAUUUUUAUACUCUCUCUAGGUCAUCUUUCGAAUCAUUUGACAGUCGAAACAUAUUGUACAAAAUCUGAGGUAAUUGUGUUUUCUUAUAAUACAUAACAUAGUUGUUAAGUUUCAAAAAUGAGACUUUACGUUACACUUUUGUUUUCAUGUUGCAUUUUUAAAGUCCACUAAACGAGUUUCCAAGAAUUCUAAAGGACGGGUAGAUGCAAUUGCUGUGGCAAUUCGAGGGACCAAUAAGAGACUACUACUGUCGAGUGAACCAGAAAAUUCUAUAUCUUUCCCAAUUAAUGAUGAGCAAAACACGCAGUCAAUAAAUGUAAAUAUAGAAGCUCCGAAAAAAGAAAUGGGAUCCAACCUAAGUGAAAAUGAUUCCUGAAAGUAGUUAUUAGAAGAUUGAUCUCGAAUUCAAUGAAUAUGGGCAGGUAGUUGGUCGUAACUCAGAUAAACUUGCUAGCAUAAUUGGAGCCAUAGUACAAGAACAUGUGCCGGUUGUUUUUAAAGAUUGGCAUUCAGUUGAUGGAAAGAAAAAAAAUAGAACUUUGGAAUUUUAUACAGGUAUAUUUCUUAACUUCACUUUUGCAGAUUAUUAUGCUACAUUCUUUUAAGAUGGAAAGUUAUUUUAUAUAUAUAUAAAUACAACAUAGAUUCAACGUGAGUGAUUGUCAUAAAAAAGUAACAAUGCAAUGUAUGGGAAAGUAUUAGAGGACAUUCAAAUCAAGGUUAAGAAAACAAAUCAUAAGUCAAGUCGAAUUAUCUAUGAAGAGAGCUCGCAUUAUGGCCCUUUUUAGACCAAAGAAUGUUAAAUCUAAAGAAGUAUGGGAAAAAUUUGUCUAGGACACGCUUUCUGCCGAUAUUUUUGUAAGUAUUCUUGCCGUAUGAAGCUUCAACUUUUAAAUAGUUAUUGUUGUUUUAUAGUUUUUUUAAGAGGAAAAAAGUUCCAAGUUUAGGAACAUGAGAACAUCUUAGAAGCUUCUCCACACUAUGGGUCAAAAAGGCUAUUCACGCAUUGCUUAUGAAAUGAUAAAGAGGAAUCCAGAGAUAAAAAGGAUUGGAAACUAGAGUAUGGACUCAUGAACAUCUCAGAAAAGAUGGAAAAUUGAUAAAUGAAGCAAUUGCCGAAACUAUAAAAAUGAUCGAAGAGUGUGUCCAAUCAAUUUCUGAUACACCAGCGAAGACUCCAUCCGCGAGGAUGCUGUUGCUCGAGUCUAGGUCCUGAACGUAAUGGGAGAGUUAGAGGACUUUGAUUUGGAGUUGCACCGUCGAAAGUGAGUGGACAAAUUGAAAGUAACGUGAGAGUUAAAGAACUUGAAAGUGAAUUACAAACUCAGUCAUAAAGGGUGGGAGCGUUAGAAGAAAAAUGUUGAAGCACUUCUAAAGCUAUCUCAACAGAAUAUGGAGGAUAGGAGUUCACAUGCUUUCACUCCUCAGUCACACCAAGGAAGUGGUGUCUAAGGAAGUAUUGCAUCUAAGGAAAAUGUAAGGUGUCAACUAUUGCAGUGGUAUAUGUUUGAAGAGGAAGAAAUUGUAGUGGAAGGGAAGAUUGCAACAACAGACCCUAGUGCAAAGGUGCAUCACUUGCCACUUGGACGAGACUGUUGGAAGUUUUGGGUUGAGGGAGUGUGUAUGAGUAGUUUGACCUUAUACAGACCUACACUUGAACUUUGAACUCUUGGUGAAGCCAUGGGAAGUACUGUUAUUUGGCUGAAGAGCAGUAUUAUACUUAUUUGAUGAAGGCAAGAGGCGCCGAUGGAGGGCUUUUCUUUUGUAUGGUCCACCUGGAAUAGGGAAGUCUUAUUCAGCUAAGGCUGUUGUUACAGAAACAUGUCCAUGGGGUGAUGUGUUUUGGCCUCACGUAAACCUGUCUCUACUUUCAGUCGCUGUUGGCGCUGGCGCUCAGCUUGCAACUCUUGUUUUGCUCCUCAUCAUUUUAGCAAUUUUUGGAAUGCUGUAUAUAGGAUAUGUCUAAAACUUUUGAACGGUAAGAUUGAAGGGCUGUAAGAUAUGUGACAUAUAGGUAGGUCUGCUAGAUGUAACAUCUUUAGAAGCUUGCUUGCUUUUGUAUAGGUCAAUAUUUUUUAUAUUGUGUGAACCAGGAGAUGAGCAAUUGUCACAACCUUCACUGUAUGUAUAGCUGUUACAUCUUUCUUGCUGGUUAUGUUGGCGGUCGCAUUUAUUUGGGCAAUGGGGUAGUUUUGGCUUAAUGUAGAUUAUGUGAAGCUUACUUUGCUGACUUGAUGCUUCAAUAUUUGUGUCUUCAAGGUUC